CUUUUACUCCAUUCAGAAAGUAUUUUCCGCCGGACGACUCGUAGGAGGUGAGAAGGGCCCUUACUCCGUCCCACACAGUGUAUUACUAUCGGCCCUAC